rnacentral:rRNA from 1 species
AGCGGCGGAUGGGUGAGUAACACGUGGGGAACCUGCCCCUAAGUCUGGGAUACCAUUUGGAAACAGGUGCUAAUACCGGAUAAUAAAGCAGAUCGCAUGAUCAGCUUUUGAAAGGCGGCGUAAGCUGUCGCUAAGGGAUGGCCCCGCGGUGCAUUAGCUAGUUGGUAAGGUAACGGCUUACCAAGGCGUCGAUGCAUAGCCGAGUUGAGAGACUGAUCGGCCACAUUGGGACUGAGACACGGCCCAAACUCCUACGGGAGGCAGCAGUAGGGAAUCUUCCACAAUGGACGCAAGUCUGAUGGAGCAACGCCGCGUGAGUGGAGAAGGUUUUCGGAUCGUAAAGCUCGGUUGUUGGUGAAGAAGGAUAGAGGUAGUAACUGGCCUUUAUUUGACGGUAAUCAACCAGAAAGUCACGGCUAACUACGUGCCAGCAGCCGCGGUAAUACGUAGGUGGCAAGCGUUGUCCGGAUUUAUUGGGCGUAAAGCGAGCGCAGGCGGAAAAAUAAGUCUAAUGUGAAAGCCCUCGGCUUAACCGAGGAACUGCAUCGGAAACUGUUUUUCUUGAGUGCAGAAGAGGAGAGUGGAACUCCAUGUGUAGCGGUGGAAUGCGUAGAUACAUGGAAGAACACCAGUGGCGAAGGCGGCUCUCUGGUCUGCAACUGACGCUGAGGCUCGAAAGCAUGGGUAGCGAACAGGAUUAGAUACCCUGGUAGUCCAUGCCGUAAACGAUGAGUGCUAAGUGU